rnacentral:rRNA from 1 species
UCAGUUCAGACUGCAGGCUGCAACUCGCCUGCACGAAGUCGGAAUUGCUAGUAAUCGUAGGUCAGCAUACUACGGUGAAUACGUUCCCGGGCCUUGUACACACCGCCCGUCAAGCCAUGGGAGUCGGGAGUGCCUGAAGUUCGUGACCGUAUAGGAGCGACCUAGGGCAAGACUGAUGACUGGGGCUAAGUCGUAACAAGGUACC